AUUGAUUAAAGUUUUAUCGUUGCUUAUAUUUUUGCUAUUGCUUUUGUUUUAUCAUAAUCCAUUACUGAAUUUGGUGCAAUGUUUCUAUGUCUGUGUAAAUUGAAAAAGCAAAUUCUUUCAUUGGUUUUACUUAUGAAUGUUGUUAUCCAUUUAUUUCGUUUGACAGUAUAUGUGAAUCGUUAAAACAUUUGAAUUAUUGCUUGUAAUAUUGCUUACAUGUAUUUAGCAUGUUUAUAUUUUUUGCCAUUAUAAAAAUCAUUUUCUAAAAUAAAUGUAUUACAUAUUAUUAUGAAUUUUUAAAAAACGAUUCUAUUUGUCAUCACAUACGUUGAAAAUAGAUGAGAACAUUGACAAAAUAAAACUUCUAUUAAAUUGU
rnacentral:sRNA from 1 species